CUGUAGUCUAAUCAAAAGUGUGUGUGAGUGCGUGUCUGUGUGUGUGUCUGUGGUUUUUAGGAUCCGUGGUUAUGCAGUCCUUUGGGAAAAGUUAAGAUAUACAGCCUGUUUCUAAUAAACAGUCCCGCAGCUUAAUUUACUUAUUCUGUGUUCUUACUUUAAAGAUCUAAACAGAGCCUCACAUGCAGUAGACUUCUGUUUCACUCGUUGCCUCUUACAGGAGAUGAAUGGUGUAUUCAGAGGAGGAUUCAGACUUCAUUUAGACCCUGCUUCAUGACGUCCAAGACUUUUUGAUAUAACUGUGGAAUGGAAAAAAACAUCUGGACUGCAAAAGCAUUGUGGGAGAUGAUCAAAUGCUGGUAAAGAACCACAACUGACUGGCUGAAGUAUAAAAAUUGCUGAAGGGCAUUUUCUAUCACACUAUAGGCAGCUGCACACAAAAUUGAUGGAAAAUUAACUUUCCAAGG